GGCUCAAUGGUCUAGUCGUAGGAUUCUGCUUUCGGGUAGCAGAGGUCCCGGGUUCAAUUCCCGGUUGAGCCU